rnacentral:rRNA from 1 species
GACGAACGCUGGCGGCGUGCUUAACACAUGCAAGUCGAACGGAAAGGCCCUGCUUUUGUGGGGUGCUCGAGUGGCGAACGGGUGAGUAACACGUGAGUAACCUGCCCUUGACUUUGGGAUAACUUCAGGAAACUGGGGCUAAUACCGGAUCGGAUCUCCUGCUGCAUGGUGGGGGUUGGAAAGUUUCGGCGGUUGGGGAUGGACUCGCGGCUUAUCAGCUUGUUGGUGGGGUAGUGGCUUACCAAGGCUUUGACGGGUAGCCGGCCUGAGAGGGUGACCGGCCACAUUGGGACUGAGAUACGGCCCAGACUCCUACGGGAGGCAGCAGUGGGGAAUAUUGCACAAUGGGCGGAAGCCUGAUGCAGCAACGCCGCGUGCGGGAUGACGGCCUUCGGGUUGUAAACCGCUUUCGCCUGUGACGAAGCGUGAGUGACGGUAAUGGGUAAAGAAGCACCGGCUAACUACGUG